rnacentral:rRNA from 1 species
AUUGAACGCUGGCGGCAGGCCUAACACAUGCAAGUCGAGCGCGCGCCGGACGGGUGAGUAAUGUAUGGGGACUGCCCGAUAGCGGGGGAUAACUACUGUAAAAGGUGGCGAAUAUCGCAUACUAUCGGCUAACACAUAUGGGAUUAGAUAGUAGGUGGGGUAAAGGCUAACCUAGGCGACGAGCUCUAGCUGGUCUGAGAGGAUGACCAGCCACACUGGGACUGAGACACGGCCCAGACGCCUACGGAGGCAGCAGUGGGGAAUAUUGCACAAUGGGCGAAAGCCUGAUGCAGCCAGGCCGCGUGUAUGAAGAAGGCCUUAGGGUUGUAAAGUACUUUCAGCGGGGAGGCGUUACCCGCAGAAGAAGCACCGGCUAACUCCGUGCCAGCAGCCGCGGUAAUAC